UACGUAGGGGCCUAGCGUUGUCCGGAAUUAUUGGGCGUAAAGAGCUCGUAGGCGGUUCGGCAAGUCGGAUGUGAAAUCUCCACGCUUAACGUGGAGGGGCCAUUCGAAACUGCUGUGACUCGAGUCCGGUAGGGGAGUGUGGAAUUCCCGGUGUAGCGGUGAAAUGCGCAGAUAUCGGGAGGAACACCAGUAGCGAAGGCGGCACUCUGGGCCGGUACUGACACUGAGACGCGAAGGCGUGGGGAGCGAACGGG
rnacentral:rRNA from 1 species